GUCUUCACAAUCCCCACAACUGGUUGUGGAGAUUUGAUUAUGGGCUCAUGUGAACCCUGAUGUACAACCUCAGAUCAAUAUAUUUGAUUCCACUGACAUCAGUCUCACCACUAAGUGUUAUGAUGCAGUGAAAGUAGAUGUGACACUGCGAUGUCGACGUAUAGCUGUAAAUCUCGGAAAUUUUGCUGAUAUCUUUACGUGGAAUUAAAUAAAUUCAACCCCUGUGACAAGCAGGCAUUUAGAAAUAUAACAUUUCUUUAGCUGUUUUAUGACUUUAGAAUAGACAUUAAAAAAACAGCAAUGUAUGUGCAAAUGUCUUGAUAUCCUUCUAGUUAUAAAUUCAUCAACAUCAACUUUUUUUCCUAAGGACAUCUUCAGAACUUCACGAUUUUUCUAUUUCUUCAGACCUGAAGUAGCACCUAGCGCCGACUCCCCUGAGAUCCUGAGUCAGCUGAGCACCUGGAAUGCUGAUGUGAACAGACGGUGAUAGAGGGAAGGAAAUAGAGACUGUCAUGCGAGCAUUACUUGCCAUGUCGUCUUGGAUGGAUAGAUCGGACGACUCUCUCUCUCUGGAGCCAGACUGUCCGUGCAGCAAAAAAAAAAAGAAAAGAGUCACACUGUCUGAGGCAUCUGCAGUGGAAGUGAGCUGGCCCGAUGAAGAAGUGAAAACUGCUGACUUGUGUACAAAAAUAAUAUUAGUUUCUCCUUUAAAUGGCAUCACUGUACUGCUCAUAUCACUUACAACACAGCAAAAUAAAGUGCUUUAAAUGCUUUUCCAAUAUGUAAACCAAGGGGGUGAUGUCAGGUCAGAAAAUUAUCUGAAACAUAUUUUCUUACAGCAUAAAAACAUCACAUAGCAAAAUAACUAUGUCAGUAUAAAUAAAAUAAAUCGGGAUAUCAAGUGGCAACCAGCUGGAGAUGAAAUCAAGACAGGAGAAA